rnacentral:rRNA from 1 species
UACGUAGGAUCCGAGCGUUAUCCGGAUUUAUUGGGCGUAAAGAGUUGCGUAGGCGGCUAAGUAAGCAAAUAGUGAAAGAGUGUGGCUUAACCAUACGAACAUUGUUUGAACUGCUUUGGCUAGAGAGCGGAAGAGGUAGCUGGAAUUAUUAGUGGAGGAGUAAUAUCCGUAGAUAUUAGUAAGAACACCAAUGGCGAAGGCAGGCUACUGGUCCGUUUCUGACGCUCAGGCACGAAAGCGUAGGUAGCAAACAGG